CCACUCUUGUUUCUCUUCAUAUCGUACAAAUCUUUCGCCUUUUACUAAAGAUUUCCGUGGAGAGGAACAAUAAGAGUAUGAUCCAAUUUUUUGAUGCCCUGUGAAAUACAGGGCU
ensembl:snRNA U5 U5 spliceosomal RNA